rnacentral:rRNA from 1 species
UUUGAGUUUGAUCAUGGCUCAGGACGAACGCGGGCGGCGUGCCUAAUACAUGCAAGUUGAGCGCUGAAGGUUGGUACUUGUACCGACUGGAUGAGCAGCGAACGGGUGAGUAACGCGUGGGGAAUCUGCCUUUGAGCGGGGGACAACAUUUGGAAACGAAUGCUAAUACCGCAUAAAAACUUUAAACACAAGUUUUAAGUUUGAAAGAUGCAAUUGCAUCACUCAAAGAUGAUCCCGCGUUGUAUUAGCUAGUUGGUGAGGUAAAGGCUCACCAAGGCGAUGAUACAUAGCCGACCUGAGAGGGUGAUCGGCCACAUUGGGACUGAGACACGGCCCAAACUCCUACGGGAGGCAGCAGUAGGGAAUCUUCGGCAAUGGACGAAAGUCUGACCGAGCAACGCCGCGUGAGUGAAGAAGGUUUUCGGAUCGUAAAACUCUGUUGGUAGAGAAGAACGUUGGUGAGAGUGGAAAGCUCAUCAAGUGACGGUAACUACCCAGAAAGGGACGGCUAACUACGUGCCAGCCGCCGCCGUAACACAA